CAGUCGCCACGGUAAUACAGAGGGUGCAAGCGUUAAUCGGAAUUACUGGGCGUAAAGCGCGCGUAGGUGGUUCGCCAAGUUGGAUGUGAAAUCCCCGGGCUCAACCUGGGAACUGCAUCCAAAACUGGCGAGCUAGAGUAUGGUAGAGGGUGGUGGAAUUUCCUGUGUAGCGGUGAAAUGCGUAGAUAUAGGAAGGAACAUCAGUGGCGAAGGCGACCACCUGGACUGAUACUGACACUGAGGUGCGAAAGCGUGGGGAGCAAACAGGAUUAGAACCCCGGUAGUCCCUGUCUCUUAUACC
rnacentral:rRNA from 1 species